ACGAGAACAGUGGAGAAAGGCAGACGGAGGCUGCACUGAACAUUUCUGUGCUAUACUACAUAAGAGGAAAGAGCUUUGUGUUGCAGAAGGAGUCGUCAACAUAGUAUGGUUCAGUUUAAGCAAGUAAACAAAAGAGGAAGGUGAAGACAACAGCGUGUUCCUUUCGCAAGGUGGAUGUCUCACUUCUGUCAUACAUACUGUACCUGUAUUGUGGAAAAAUGUGAAUCAAAAUGUGAACAAUGCAAAAUACAGGAAGCAUAUUCUGAGAUCCAACUGUAAUGCAAGUGCAUUUUGAUGGCAAAUGUGAGCAAUAAAAAUACAACAAAU